rnacentral:rRNA from 1 species
GGUCAAGUGACUAAGAGCAUGUGGUGGAUGCCUUGGCGAUGAUAGGCGACGAAGGACGUGAUAGCCUGCGAUAAGCUUCGGGGAGCUGGCAAAUUAGCUUUGAUCCGGAGAUUUCCGAAUGGGGAAACCCACCGAAAGGUAUCCUGCGGUGAAUACAUAGCCGCAGGAGGCGAACCGGGUGAACUGAAACAUCUCAGUAGCUCGAGGAAAAGACAUCAACCGAGAUUCCGAAAGUAGUGGCGAGCGAAAUCGGAGGAGCCUUCUAGUGAUAGCACGACUGUUAGCAAAACGGGUUGGAAAACCCGGCCAUAGCAGGUGAUAGCCCUGUAUGCGAAAACCGACGUGUGGUACUAGGCUAGAGAAAAGUAGGGCGGGACACGUGUAAUCCUGUCUGAACAUGGGGGGACCAUCCUCCAAGGCUAAAUACUCAUCAUCGACCGAUAGUGAACUAGUACCGUGAGGGAAAGGCGAAAAGAACCCCGGGAGGGGAGUGAAAUAGAUCCUGAAACCGCAUGCUUACAAAAAGUCGGAGCCCUUCGGGGUGACGGCGUACCUUUUGUAUAAUGGGUCAGCGACUUACAUUCAGUGGCAAGGUUAACCGAAUAGGGAAGCCGAAGAGAAAUCGAGUCCGAAUAGGGCGAUUAGUCGCUGGGUGUAGACCCGAAACCAGGUGAUCUAUCCAUGGCCAGGAUGAAGGUGCCGUAACAGGUACUGGAGGUCCGAACCGACUAGUGUUGCAAAACUAGCGGAUGAGCUGUGGAUAGGGGUGAAAGGCUAAACAAACCUGGAAAUAGCUGGUUCUCUCCGAAAACUAUCUAGGUAGUGCCUCAAGUAUUACCUUCGGGGGUAGAGCACUGUUUUGGCUAGGGGGUCAUGGCGACUUACCAAACCAAGGCAAACUCCGAAUACCGAAGAGUACAGCUUGGGAGACAGUGCACCGGGUGCUAACGUCCGGACACGAGAGGGAAACAACCCAGACCGCCAGCUAAGGUCCCUAAAAUUGGCUAAGUGGGAAACGAAGUGGGAAGGCUAAAACAGUCAGGAUGUUGGCUUAGAAGCAGCCAUCAUUUAAAGAAAGCGUAAUAGC